rnacentral:rRNA from 1 species
UACGAAGGGGGCUAGCGUUGCUCGGAAUCACUGGGCGUAAAGCGCACGUAGGCGGACUCUUAAGUCGGUGGUGAAAUCCUGGAGCUCAACUCCAGAACUGCCUUUGAUACUGAGGAUCUUGAGUUCGGGAGAGGUGAGUGGAACUGCGAGUGUAGAGGUGAAAAUUCGUAGAUAUUCGCAAGAACACCAGUGGCGAAGGCGGCUCACUGGCCCGAUACUGACGCUGAGACGCGAAAAGCGUGGGGGAGCAA